UAGUAUGCUGUAUAAACUUGAUUAAAUAUGUUGCUAUAAUAUUUAUAGUCUUUGUCGCCUCUAGUUAUAUUGCUGGUAUAUAAUGUUCUAGCAAUUGAAAAGUUUUGUAAGUCUUUGAUAUCAGGUGCUCUACUGGACUUGAAAGAAUGUAUAAUUCACGGAAUAGGAACUAUGGUGGCAAGGUAUGGAAUACUUCCCCAGAUGAGCAAAACCGCCUCAAAGCUCAAGUCUUUAACAACCCAUGUACUCCAUUUUCAAAAAGCAAGCUUCUUUACUGCAACAGUUGCAGAUCGUGAAGAAGAAUCACAAAACCCAAAGAGACCCAAGUAGAUGAUACAUUUUCAUGCAUCAUAUAUGUGCCAUGUUUUGGAACAAUAUAAAUACACACUUUUGAUGUCCCAAGUAGAUGGGCAUGUGCUAGAAUGCUUUUAUAGUUUAAAUGUUGGCUUGAAUGAUUGGGAAAUGCACCUCUUUUGCUUUUGAAGUUUAAAACAUUGGUUAGAUUACU